rnacentral:tRNA from 1 species
GGGAAUGUAGCUUAGUGGUAGAGCGCUUGCCUAGCAUGCAUGAAGCCCUGGGUUCGAUUCCCCGGUACCA